rnacentral:rRNA from 1 species
GACGAACGCUGGCGGCGUGCCUAAUACAUGCAAGUUGAGCGAUGAAGAUUGGUGCUUGCGCCAAUUUGAAGAGCAGCGAACGGGUGAGUAACGCGUGGGGAAUCUGCCUUUGAGCGGGGGACAACAUGUGGAAACGAAUGCUAAUACCGCAUAACAACUUUAAACAUAAGUUUUAAGUUUGAAAGAUGCAAUUGCAUCACUCAAAGAUGAUCCCGCGUUGUAUUAGCUAGUUGGUGAGGUAAAGGCUCACCAAGGCGAUGAUACAUAGCCGACCUGAGAGGGUGAUCGGCCACAUUGGGACUGAGACACGGCACAAACGCAUACGGGAGGCAGCAGGAGGGAAUCUUCGGCAAGGGACGAAAGUCUGACCGAGAAACGCCGCGGGAGUGAAGAAGGUUGUCGGAUCGUAAAACUCGGUUGGUAGAGAAGAAAGUUGGUGAGAGUGGAAAGCUCAUCAAGUGACGGUAACUACCCAGAAAGGGACGGCUAACUACGUG